CUGACAAAAUAAAAAAUAUGUAAUUGUCAGCAAAGUUGUUUCCUUUUUUUCUUCACUUUGAAAUUUUGAUUGAUAUGUUCCACUGCUAACUAAUUUGCAUUUGUAUAUAGUGGCCUUGUUAUUACAUAGACUAACUAUUAUUAACUUGAUAUGACUCCCCAGAGAUGAUCAACUUGAAGCAAUCUCAACAAGGCUUCCAGUUGAUAAGGCUGACCUGAAAAGGUUAUUCCCCAAAUCAUGGUGUGAUCGAUAUGGUGAUAUCGUGAUAGAUGUGGUCAGAAAAGAAUUCAAGCAACAUGUUGGAGAGAUGGGAAAUUCCCGAGUACUAGCCAAGGAGAAGCAAAACUCGAAAAGAUGGACCACAUUUGAUGAUGACGAUGAAAAUUGUCAUCCAAAUCUCUUUGCUUCUAAAGAGCAAGCAACUUUCUCAUCUUCAAAGAUGGUUCGUGCAUCUAUUAAUAAUACUAGCAGUAGUAUUGACAAGGGCUUUAAGUAUAACCCUUUCUUCGAUGUUUAACAUAGUCAUAGAAAACAAGCUGAGACACCUGUAUCAGCUUCCUUCUAGGGUCUCCCAGCCUUUUCUCGUUUCAGUUCAAAUUGUAUUUUUGAGCCUUUUCUCCCAUAA